GCCGGGAUAGCUCAGCUGGCUCAGAGCGCCUGACUGUGGAUCAGGAGGUCACGGGUUCGAAUCCCGUUCCCGGUACCA
rnacentral:tRNA from 1 species